rnacentral:lncRNA from 1 species
AAAAUGAUAAAAAAAAACUAACUCAAAAAAAGUGAUAUAGACGGUGAUAAAGUAAAAGAAGAGGAUAUGGAGGAGACUCAAGGGAUAAUAGAAAAAACUUAUUUUGCAGCGCUCAUUCCAAACAAAAAUAAGAACAAGCAAAACCAUAUCCUCAAAUCAAAUAGAAUUAGCCAACCAUCAUCAUCAAUAGCAAAGGAUUCGUCUUUACACUUUUUAGGGGGAUUCAUCCUAUGCUGCC